rnacentral:rRNA from 1 species
GUGUCAGCCGCCGCGGUAAAACCAGCACCUCAAGUGGUCAGGAGGAUUAUUGGGCCUAAAGCAUCCGUAGCCGGCUCUGUAAGUUUUCGGUUAAAUCUAUAUGCUCAACAUAUAGGCUGCCGGAAAUACUGCAAAGCUAGGGAGUGGGAGAGGUAGACGGUACUCCGUAGGAAGGGGUAAAAUCCUUUGAUCUAUGGAUGACCACCUGUGGCGAAGGCGGUCUACCAGAACACGUCCGACGGUGAGGGAUGAAAGCUGGGGGAGCAAACCGGAUUAGAUACCCGGGUAGUCCCAGCUGUAAACUAUGCAAACUCGGUGAUGCAUUGGCUUGUGGCCAGUGCAGUGCCGCAGGGAAGCCGUUAAGUUUGCCGCCUGGGAAGUACGUACGCAAGUAUGAAACUUAAAGGAAUUGGCGGGGGAGCACCACAAGGGGUGAAGCCUGCGGUUCAAUUGGAGUCAACGCCAGAAAUCUUACCCGGAGAGACAGCAGAAUGAAGGUCCAGCUGAAGACUUUACCAGACAAGCUGAGAAGUGGUGCAUGGCCGUCGCCAGCUCGUGCCGUGAGAUGUCCUGUUAAGUCAGGUAACGAGCGAGAUCCUUGCCUCUAGUUGCCACCAUUACUCUCAGGAGUAGUGGGGCGAAUUAGCGGGACUGCCGUAGUUAAUACGGAGGAAGGAGAGGGCCACGGCAGGUCAGUAUGCCCUGAAACUCUGGGGCCACACGCGGGCUGCAAUGAUAGUGACAAUGGGUUCCGAAUCCGAGAGGAGGAGGUAAUCCUCAAACGCUAUCACAGUUAUGACUGAGGGCUGCAACUCGCCCUCACGAAUAUGGAAUCCCUAGUAACUGCGUGUCAUUACCGCGCGGUGAAUACGUCCCUGCUCCUUGCACACACCGCCCGUC